rnacentral:rRNA from 1 species
AAUCUUCUACAAUGGGCGAAAGCCUGAUGGAGCAACGCUGCGUGAGUGAAGAAGGUGUUCGGAUCGUAAAACUCUGUUGUAAGGGAAGAACAAGUACAGUAGUAACUGGCUGUACCUUGACGGUACCUUAUUAGAAAGCCACGGCUAACUACGUGCCAGCCGCCGCGGUAAUACGUAGGUGGCAAGCGUUGUCCGGCAUUAUUGGGCGUAAAGCGCGCGCAGGCGGUCCUUUAAGUCUGAUGUGAGAGCCCACGGCUCAACCGUGGAGGGUCAUUGGAAACUGGGGGACUAGAGUGCAGAAGAGGAAGGUGGAAUUCCAAGUGUAGCGGUGAAAUGCGUAGAGAUUUGGAGGAACACCAGUGGCGAAGGCGACUUUCUGGUCUGUAACUGACGCUGAGGCGCGAAAGCGUGGGGAGCAAACA